rnacentral:rRNA from 1 species
CGAGAGGACCGGGAUGGACGGACCUCCAGUGUUCCGGUUGUCACGCCAGUGGCAAUGCCGGGUAGCUAUGUCCGGAAGGGAUAAACGCUGAAGGCAUCUAAGCGUGAAGCCCACCCCAAGAUAAGAUCUCCCGUGGAGCAAUCCACCUGAAGGUCUGUGGUAGACUACCACGUUGAUAGGCUGGAAGUGUACGUGCAGUAAUGCAUUCAGCUGACCAGUACUAAUAGACCGUGCGGCUUGACCCU